UGAUUCAUGACUGGGGUGAAGUCGUAACAAGGUAACCGUAGGGGAACCUGCGGUUGGAUCACCUCCUUACCUUAAAGAAGC
rnacentral:rRNA from 4 species